GCCGCAAAUCUAGCUUUUACUCCCUAUAACAUCAAUUUCACACCAACAACUUAUGAUAAAACAUUUUAAUUUUUUAGUAGAGGUGAUCAAAAAACUCCUAUAACGCUUCAGAACUAGUACCGCAAGGGAAAGAUGAAAUAAAAAUGAAAUAAAUUUAAAGCCCAAUACAGCAGAGACUCCAACUCG
rnacentral:rRNA from 1 species